AGUGUUCGUUGAACUGCUCUAAGAGAAGAUCAUCGAGCGAUGCCGGCUUCAACACUGGCUUGCCUUGUGUCAUUCAGUGUCGGUUUCGCAGCCGGAAUCUACUUCGAGCGGAACAUUAAGGUUGAGAGGAAGAACUCGAUUCAAGAAAAGUUUUCUAACAUGAUACGUUGAAGACACGGAGUGUCAGAGUCGAAGAAUUGCUCACCGCCACGGAUCCGGGAAACCACGGGGAUUUGAUGGCUGGAAGAGUUGUCACAAUAAAAGUUGUAGGCAG